rnacentral:piRNA from 1 species
UUCUAUAGCUGGCAAAGACUACAGAAC